rnacentral:lncRNA from 1 species
ACUCUGAACCUGGGCUGUCUUGCAAAUUGAGUGGUGCUCUCCCUGGACAAGGGGCUACAAAACAAGACUUAGUUAAGAUCUUGUUCUUUGGUGCUGAUACUGUUUGAUGGACUUUGUGAGCUAAUAACAGCUAUGCCAGGCCUUGGGGCACCUUGGUAUCCACCUGGUGUCCAAUUAGGGCCAUAAUCCUGUCCUGGAAAAAACUGACGAAAAUUUGGGGCAAGGGAGCGGGCAGGGGGAGUGAUCCUUGAGGAAUACUGUUGUGCUAACUAUAUAAAAUUGAGCUUGCAAGUGGCUGAGGGACUGACUGGACACUUUGGAUGUGGUUGGAAGAAUCUGUGGGGAGAACUGGCUGGUUGAGUUACAUUGUUAUAUUUGAACCUUUAUGUACAGAAAAUAUCAACAGUUGAAAUUGUUACCUGUCCACAGUUUUG